rnacentral:rRNA from 1 species
AUUGAACGCUGGCGGCAGGCCUAACACAUGCAAGUCGAGCGGCAGCGGGAAAGUAGCUUGCUGCUUUUGCCGGCGAGCGGCGGACGGGUGAGUAAUGCCUGGGAAAUUGCCCAGUCGAGGGGGAUAACAGUUGGAAGCGACUGCUAAUACCGCAUACGCCCUACGGGGGAAAGCAGGGGACCUUCGGGCCUUGCGCGAUUGGAUAUGCCCAGGUGGGAUUAGCCAGUUGGUGAGGUAAUGGCUCACCAAUGCGACGGUCCCUAGCUGGUCUUAGAGGAUGAUCAGCCACACUGGAAGUGAGACACGGUCCAGACUCCUACGGGAGGCAGCAGUGGGGAAUAUUGCACAAUGGGGGAAACCCUGAUGCAGCCAUGCCGCGUGUGUGAAGAAGGCCUUCGGGUUGUAAAGCACUUUCAGCGAGGAGGAAAGGUUGAUGCCUAAUACGUAUCAACUGUGACGUUACUCGCAGAAGAAGCACCGGCUAACUCCGUGCCAGCAGCCGCGGUAA